UCCUCCUCGUGAGUUCCGGCCAAUAUUGCUCUCCCACCGCCGCCCGCCGCCCGCCGCCGUAGGAACAAACCGCACCACAACGCGAGCAGAACAGAUGGAUUCGAUUAUCACGAAGCCCGAGGAGAUUUCCGCUAAUUACCACAGCGGAGCGGCCAAGCAUUCCUAGCGCGCAGCGCGCAUCGCGGCAUCGGGAUUGUUACAUCGUGAGUGGUACCGCUUUACUUGGGAGUUCUGACUUCUUUCAUGCAGAAACAAUAUUGAGCCACUUCCCUUUUUCUGUCCAUCGCCGCUCAUGCCUUUCGGGCAAGUACAUGUAGUGACUCCUUGUCCAUCCUUGCAGUACUCCGUGUA